AUUGAACGCUGGCGGCAUGCCUUACACAUGCAAGUCGAACGGUAACAGGUCUUCGGAUGCUGACGAGUGGCGAACGGGUGAGUAAUGCAUCGGAACGUGCCCAGUUGUGGGGGAUAACUGCUCGAAAGAGCAGCUAAUACCGCAUACGACCUGAGGGUGAAAGCGGGGGAUCGCAAGACCUCGCGCAAUUAGAGCGGCCGAUGGCAGAUUAGGUAGUUGGUGGGGUAAAGGCCUACCAAGCCGACGAUCUGUAGUUGGUCUGAGAGGACGACCAGCCACACUGGGACUGAGACACGGCCCAGACUCCUACGGGAGGCAGCAGAGGGGAAUUUUGGACAAUGGGCGCAAGCCUGAUCCAGCAAUGCCGCGUGCAGGAAGAAGGCCUUCGGGUUGUAAACUGCUUUUGUCAGGGAAGAAACGCCCUGGGUUAAUACCUCGGGGUAAUGACGGUACCUGAAGAAUAAGCACCGGCUAACUACGUGCCAGCAGCCGCGGUAAUAC
rnacentral:rRNA from 1 species